UACGUGAGGCAGCAAGCGUUGUUCGGAGUUACUGGGCGUAAAGGGUGUGUAGGCGGUUGGAUAAGUGUGGUGUGAAAUCUCCCGGCUUAACUGGGAGGGUGCGCUACAAACUGUCUGACUAGAGUGUGGGAUGGGUAAGUGGAAUUCCUGGUGUAGCGGUGAAAUGCGUAGAUAUCAGGAGGAACACCGGUGGCGAAGGCGGGUCUCUGGGCCGAUACUGACGCUGAGGAGCGAAAGCGUGGGGAGCGAACAGG
rnacentral:rRNA from 1 species